rnacentral:rRNA from 1 species
UACGGGGGGUGCGAGCGUUGUCCGGAAUCACUGGGCGUAAAGGGCGCGUAGGUGGUUUGAUAAGGGUGUGGUGAAAGUCCGGGGCUCAACCCCGGAUCUGCCGUGCCGACUGUCAAACUCGAGGACUGUAGAGGCAGACGGAAUUCCGGGUGUAGCGGUGGAAUGCGUAGAGAUCCGGAGGAAGACCGGUGGCGAAGGCGGUCUGCUGGGCAGUUUCUGACACUGAGGCGCGACAGCGUGGGGAGCAAACCGG